GACGAACGCUGGCGGCGUGCUUAACACAUGCAAGUCGAACGGAAAGGCGCUGCUUUUGUGGGGUGCUCGAGUGGCGAACGGGUGAGUAACACGUGAGUAACCUGCCCUUGACUUUGGGAUAACUUCAGGAAACUGGGGCUAAUACCGGAUAGGAGCUCCUGCUGCAUGGUGGGGGAUGGAAAGUUUCGGCGGUUGGGGAUGGACUCGCGGCUUAUCAGUUUGUUGGUGGGGUAGUGGCUUACCAAGGCUUUGACGGGUAGCCGGCCUGAGAGGGUGACCGGCCACAUUGGGACUGAGAUACGGCCCAGACUCCUACGGGAGGCAGCAGUGGGGAAUAUUGCACAAUGGGCGGAAGCCUGAUGCAGCAACGCCGCGUGCGGGAUGACGGCCUUCGGGUUGUAAACCGCUUUCGCCUGUGACGAAGCGUGAGUGACGGUAAUGGGUAAAGAAGCACCGGCUAACUACGUG
rnacentral:rRNA from 1 species